UACGAAGGGGGCUAGCGUUGUUCGGAAUCACUGGGCGUAAAGCGCACGUAGGCUGACUGGUCAGUUGGGGGUGAAAUCCCGGGGCUCAACCCCGGAACUGCCUUCAAUACUGCCAGUCUUGAGUCCGAGAGAGGUGAGUGGAAUUCCUAGUGUAGAGGUGAAAUUCGUAGAUAUUAGGAAGAACACCAGUGGCGAAGGCGGCUCACUGGCUCGGUACUGACGCUGAGGUGCGAAAGCGUGGGGAGCAAACAGGAUUAGAUACCCGGGUAGUCC
rnacentral:rRNA from 1 species